rnacentral:hammerhead_ribozyme from 1 species
AUUCAGCUGACGAGUCCCGAAUAGGAUGAGACUCGCGUCCUGGAU